UACGUAGGGUGCAAGCGUUGUCCGGAAUUAUUGGGCGUAAAGAGCUCGUAGGCGGUCUGUCGCGUCGGCUGUGAAAUCCCGAGGCUCAACCUCGGGUCUGCAGUCGAUACGGGCAAACUAGAGUAUUGCAGGGGAGACUGGAAUUCCUGGUGUAGCGGUGAAAUGCGCAGAUAUCAGGAGGAACACCGGUGGCGAAAGCGGCUUCCUGGUCCAGCACCGACGUUCAGGCACGAAAGCGUGGGGAGCAAACAGG
rnacentral:rRNA from 1 species